CGAGUGGCGGACGGGUGAGGAAUACAUCGGAAUCUGCCUUGUUGUGGGGGAUAACGUAGGGAAACUUACGCUAAUACCGCAUAAGACCUUAGGGUGAAAGCGGAGGACCUUCGGGCUUCGCGCGACAAGAUGAGCCGAUGUCGGAUUAGCUAGUUGGCGGGGUAAAAGCCCACCAAGGCGACGAUCCGUAGCUGGUCUGAGAGGGCGCACGGCCACACUGGAACUGAAACACGGUCCAG
rnacentral:rRNA from 1 species